rnacentral:rRNA from 1 species
ACGGGUGAGUAACGCGUGGGAACGUACCUUUUGGUUCGGAACAACACAGGGAAACUUGUGCUAAUACCGGAUAAGCCCUUACGGGGAAAGAUUUAUCGCCGAAAGAUCGGCCCGCGUCUGAUUAGCUAGUUGGUAGGGUAACGGCCUACCAAGGCGACGAUCAGUAGCUGGUCUGAGAGGAUGAUCAGCCACAUUGGGACUGAGACACGGCCCAAACUCCUACGGGAGGCAGCAGUGGGGAAUAUUGGACAAUGGGGGCAACCCUGAUCCAGCCAUGCCGCGUGAGUGAUGAAGGCCCUAGGGUUGUAAAGCUCUUUUGUGCGGGAAGAUAAUGACGGUACCGCAAGAAUAAGCCCCGGCUAACUUCGUGCCAGCAGCCGCGGUAAUACGAAGGGGGCUAGCGUUGCUCGGAAUCACUGGGCGUAAAGGGUGCGUAGGCGGGUCUUUAAGUCAGGGGUGAAAUCCUGGAGCUCAACUCCAGAACUGCCUUUGAUACUGAAGAUCUUGAGUUCGGGAGAGGUGAGUGGAACUGCGAGUGUAGAGGUGAAAUUCGUAGA